AUUGAACGCUGGCGGCAGGCCUAACACAUGCAAGUCGGACGGUAGCACAGAGGAGCUUGCUCCUUGGGUGACGAGUGGCGGACGGGUGAGUAAUGUCUGGGGAUCUGCCCGAUAGAGGGGGAUAACCACUGGAAACGGUGGCUAAUACCGCAUAACGUCGCAAGACCAAAGAGGGGGACCCUCGGGCCUCUCACUAUCGGAUGAACCCAGAUGGGAUUAGCUAGUAGGCGGGGUAAUGGCCCACCUAGGCGACGAUCCCUAGCUGGUCUGAGAGGAUGACCAGCCACACUGGAACUGAUACACGGUCCAGACUCCUACGGGAGGCAGCAGUGGGGAAUAUUGCACAAUGGGCGCAAGCCUGAUGCGGCCAUGCCGCGUGUAUGAAGAAGGCCUUCGGGUUGUAAAGUACUUUCAGCGGGGAGGAAGGCGGUGAGGUUAAUAACCUUGCCGAUUGACGUUACCCGCAGAAGAAGCACCGGCUAACUCCGUGCCAGCCGCCGCCGUAA
rnacentral:rRNA from 1 species